rnacentral:rRNA from 1 species
AUGAACGCUGGCGGCGUGCCUAAUACCUGCAAGUCGAGCGAACGGACGAGAAGCUUGCUUCUCUGAUGUUAGCGGCGGACGGGUGAGUAACACGUGGAUAACCUACCUAUAAGACUGGGAUAACUUCGGGAAACCGGAGCUAAUACCGGAUAAUAUUUUGAACCGCAUGGUUCAAAAGUGAAAGACGGUCUUGCUGUCACUUAUAGAUGGAUCCGCGCUGCAUUAGCUAGUUGGUAAGGUAACGGCUUACCAAGGCAACGAUGCAUAGCCGACCUGAGAGGGUGAUCGGCCACACUGGAACUGAGACACGGUCCAGACUCCUACGGGAGGCAGCAGUAGGGAAUCUUCCGCAAAGGGCGAAAGCCUGACGGAGCAACGCCGCGUGAGUGAUGAAGGUCUUCGGAUCGUAAAACUCUGUUAUUAGGGAAGAACAUAUGUGUAAGUAACUGUGCACAUCUUGACGGUACCUAAUCAGAAAGCCACGGCUAACUACGUG